AAAGAAGCAAAUAAGGGCGAACGGUGGAUGCCUAGGCUCCCGGAGGCGAAGAAGGACGUGAUAAGCUGCGAUAAGCUACGGGUAGG
rnacentral:rRNA from 1 species